rnacentral:lncRNA from 1 species
UUAAAUAUAUCAGUAAACAAAUAAACACAUGAAUCAAAAACUAGAGGCAGAGAGAAAGCAGUGUUUGGUAUCCUGGCUACAAUCCAUGUUUAUUAUUUAACUUUAAAAUGACAAAUCAAUGGCAAAAUGGAAUUAAGUAGCUGUGUAAGCACAGAAGUAAUUUUAUCGGUGUAUGAGCUGCUCAUGUUUUACAUUACACAAAGCACAGUGUGUUUACUGAACAGCGGCAGCGACAUCGGUGAGAGCUGGAAGCAAAGCCAAGGCUGCAGGGAUGGCAUCUGAGAAGUGAGGCCCUGGGGACAGGCUGCUGAUGGGCAGACAUACAUCUCCUCUCCCUUCGCUGCAUGGCUCACCAGCUGCGUGCCAAAACUUCCAAGGGAAAUACUCAGAAGAUGAAAACUCCUCAGCAGCAAAGCACCAAUUUCGCGUCAGGCAGUGUGUCAGCAAGAUGAGAGAAAACAACCCUUUAACCUCUUUAAGACCCCAAUGCCUGCUAGGCGUUCAGCUCAGCACUUCAGGCACGGCUUGUGUUUGUGGACACCAAGGUCAUGUUUUUAAAGACAGGCAUUCAAAUGGCACACAAAAAAUAUGCAGGCAGGGGUGCGAAGGGGGUAAUUGCACGUACGAAACAUGCAGUUGCAAACACCCACCGGGUAAUUGUGUGCUCACAAGCAUUCAGCUGCACCUGCAGUUUCCUGGUUUCCCUUUUAGAACGACAUCUCUGUGCCCAGGCAUGCCUGCUUGGCGUGUUUCAUUUCUGCACUUGAAACCGUGGCCCAAAGCACCGCGUUGCUGUUUAGCACAGGUUUGAGCCGCUGAUUUCAAAGCUGCUCUAAUUAGUAACUUGCAGUUAGUGUACUCUACCAAUUCUCAGCCCACUGGGAUAUCACCAGGCUUUAUUGUUUCUUUCUGUCUUUGUGGAACUUCUGUAAAUCUUUUCUUUGAUAGCAGCUACGGUUUCAAAGCUGCCCACGUUUGAGCCAGAGGAGGCUAAUAAUGGUCUAAUUAAUGAAAGAUGUUUUCCUCUGCAUUGCUGUAUUUUAUCUCUUCCCCAAAGACUUGUCGGUGCAACCAAACCCCAGGCACCAGCCAGAUCCUUUCUUUUCCUCACAUAUUUGAGAAAUACACCGAUAUAUGGUGUGUAUCCCAUGCUGUUCUCACUUGAGUGUGUAAAUCUUGAAAAAUCUUCCCAAGUGUAGCUCGGAUUUAGGAAGCAGCUUUGUUAUUCCCAGCAGGUUUUCCUUCCAGCUAAGAUUUGUUUCUCUAGCUCAAACCACAAAGCCACUUUAACUCUCCCUAAAAGACUUCAGUCUGUGUAAGCUGCAGUGUAGGACAUACUUAUUAUCCCCCAGUGGGUAUUCAUUGCCCCUCUCCUCCUGCUUUUUCAAUUUCACUUUCUUUUUAUUAAUUGAUGAGCUCCCUUAAUUAUUUAUAGAAGUCUUAAAAUGCAUCAAGGUUGGAUUGCACAGUCUCUUCACUGUCACAUUGCACUGUUUUGCCACAGGAAGGACACAGAUUCCUACCCAAAGGCACAAGGAGUGUUAGCAGCUUUAAUUGGGUGUGCAGUAACACAUCAUUAUGCACUGAGUGCAAAGCAGCGAAGUUCCUGCUGGACACUUGAGAUCAUUGGGUCUUUCUUUACAGUACUGCGGGGCUGUGGUUGUGCUGUUGCUUUGGGUCUGGUGAGGGGUCUGGAUGGCAGAUCUGCCCAUACAGGCAGUCUCGUGCUGAAUGAAGUGGCUGCACGAGAGGCAUUCUAGCAACAUAGUUUUCUUCCUCUGUUUCCUCCUACCCAAUCUCUUUCUAGGUUUCUUGUUUCUUCAUCACAGGGUCUACAGUGGGGCUGUUUUUUUUUUUUUAACUCCUUUGGUGGACCUGUUCUGCACAUCCCUUGGAACCAUCCCUUUGGUCCAGCUUUACUAUCACCAAACCUUUUCCUUUCCAGUCCUGGCUCAGAGCUACCAAAGUAGUUCCCACAGAUACCUGAGGUGAUGAGUCUGAUCCCAGAUGGACACUGAGGGGCUGGAUAGUGUGGGAGGAAGCACAGGGAGCAUGAAGGAAGCAGGACAGAAGAGAGCACUUCAGCAGCAGAGCUUCAAGCUGGCAGGCAGGUUGUUCCACUUCAUGGUGCUUUAUGACCUUGAGACGCUGUCACGAUAAAUCAUGACAAGUAAUUAAAAGUAUAGUUUAGAUCAUAACUAGCAUGUCAGAGCAGUGGAUGUACACUGGUGAUGCCUUUCCUUCCCUGUCCUCCAUGAUGCUGGGCUCCAGUGGAGUAAAACCUCCUACUGAAGGCGAAAACCCAAACAAUUAAUGGUUUGCUGCCAGCCACUUAAAUAGAAAGUUGAUGUAGCCCAGCUAGCUACCUGCAGGUGCCCCAGAGCCCCCUGCUGUACAUUGAAUGGCAUCCUCUGAUGCUGCAGGCAAAACCACAAGCCCCCCCCCCCCAGCAUAAAUAUUUCCUUGCUGGUUGAAAUAGAAAGCAGAUGUGUCUCAUCUACUUGUGACACAGAACACUGAGAUUAGCAGCAAGGCAAGAAAAGUGAGGGCCAAGUAUGGGGCACUUUAGGAGAAAAUAAAGGAAAUGAUAGAACUGAGAAGUGGCCAGCUCAGGGACAUCAAUUGCUUGUUUGUUAGGUUUCUGUGGUGGUGACAGGUAAGGAUUGCUGGUUUUCAGAUAGCAUCUGUCCUCAUCCUCUGGCCCAGCACAGGGUGGGAUACAACUGCUGUGUCAGAACGGGGAGUCCCAGCUACCCUGCUGGUGGUCUUAGUGGUGUUAUGGCCAUGAGAACAGUGUGAAAGUCAGGCGGGAGGCCUGGGGGAGGUGUUUUAAGUCAGGAGGGUGUAAAGAAGAGGCGAAAGUAAGAGCUGUUUCAUUUGGCAUUGAGAUGCAAACAGAUGAGAGUGGCACAAUCUGGGCCAGAGCUGCACCCUACCUGUGUUUCUGGUAGGAUCAGUCCACACUGACCUUUUGCUGCAAAAGACAAAACCAAUCCAGGAGCCGAAGAAUCCAGGUGUUAGAUCUCUGACCUGGGCAACACGAACAGUUGGUUAGCAUCAGCCUGCCUGCUCCCAGGGAAGGCUGACAGCAGCCACAGAGCUGAUGGAGCAGGUGGGGGACCAAACAGCACUUGCAGUGCCCUGAUGUCAGGACGUGGCCUCCUGCAUCGUGUGAGAGGAGCACUGAAAGAAAACAAAGCUGUGCUCCUCGGUGGGGCUGUUUCUGAUGGAUGAAGGUGCCUUCUGUCCUUCUCUUGCGAUUGUUUGAAAGGGAAAGAGAGUACAGAACAUGGUAUCUCUGUCUCUCACAGCUCAGUUUCUUUGGCAGGAGGUCUCACUGGUUUUCUUUUACAAACAAAC